rnacentral:rRNA from 1 species
UACGUAGGGUGCGAGCGUUAAUCGGAAUUACUGGGCGUAAAGUGUACGCAGGCGGCCGCGCAAGUCGAGUGUGAAAGCCCCGGGCUUAACUUGGGAAUUGCGCUCGAAACUACGUGGCUGGAGUAUGGCAGAGGAAGGUGGAAUUCCACGUGUAGCGGUGAAAUGCGUAGAGAUGUGGAGGAACACCGAUGGCGAAGGCAGCCUUCUGGGCCAAUACUGACGCUCAUGCACGAAAGCGUGGGGAGCAAACAGG